GGGGCGAAGAUAAGGCGGAUUAGCGGCGGACGGGUGAGUAACACGUGAGUAACCUGCCUUUUACACAGGGAUAGCCUCGGGAAACCGGGAUUAAAACCUGAUGAAACUAUCAAAUCACAUGAUUAAGAAAGUUAAAACUCCGGUGGUAAAAGAUGCACUCGCGUCCCAUUAGCUAGUUGGUGAAGGUAACGGCCCACCAAGGCAACGAUCGGUAGCCGGCCUGAGAGGGUGAACGGCCACAUUGGAACUGAGAAACGGUCCAAACUCCUACGGGAGGCAGCAGUGGGGAAUAUUGCCCAAUGGGGGAGACCCUGAUGCAGCGACGCCGCGUGAGGGAAGAAGGCCUUCGGGUCGUAAAGCUCUUUUAUAUGGGAAGAUAAUGACGGU
rnacentral:rRNA from 1 species